rnacentral:rRNA from 1 species
UGGUGGAGUGAUUUGUCUGGUUAAUUCCGAUAACGAACGAGACCUUAACCUGCUAAAUAGCAAUGCGAUAUUCAUAUCGUAGUAGGCUUCUUAGAGGGACUGCCAGUGUCUAACUGGCGGAAGUUUGAGGCAAUAACA